UUNUGAACUGGGUGACUAGAGUGUGUCAGAGGGAGGUAGAAUUNCACGUGUAGCAGUGAAAUGCGUAGAGAUGUGGAGGAAUACCGAUGGCGAAGGCAGCCUCCUGGGAUAACACUGACGUUCAUGCCCGAAAGCGUGGGUAGCAAACAGGAUUAGAUACCCUGGUAGUCCACGCCCUAAACGAUGUCGAUUAGCUGUUGGGCAGCAUGACUGCUUAGUAGCGAAGCUAACGCGUGAAAUCGACCGCCUGGGGAGUACGGUCGCAAGAUUAAAACUCAAAGGAAUUGACGGGGACCCGCACAAGCGGUGGAUGAUGUGGAUUAAUUCGAUGCAACGCGAAGAACCUUACCUGGUCUUGACAAGUACGGAAUCCUCCAGAGACGGAGGAGUGCCUUCGGGAGCCGUAACACAGGUGCUGCAUGGCUGUCGUCAGCUCGUGUCGUGGGAUGUUGGGUUAAGUCCCGCAACGAGCGCAACCCUUGUCAUUAGUUGCCGUCAUUAAGUUGGGCACUCUAAUGAGACUGCCGGUGACAAGCCGGAGGAAGGUGGGGAUGACGUCAAGUCCUCAUGGCCCUUAUGACCAGGGCUUCUCACGUCAUACAAUGGUCGGUACAGAGGGUAGCCAAGCCGCGAGGCGGAGCCAAUCUCACAAAACUGAUCGUAGUCCGGAUUGCACUCUGCAACUCGAGUGCAUGAAGUCGGAAUCGCUAGUAAUCGCAGGUCAGCAUACUGCGGUGAAUACGUUCCCGGGUCUUGUACACACCGCCCGUCACACCAUGGGAGUGGGGGAUACCAGAAG
rnacentral:rRNA from 1 species